GGGCGGAUCGUGGUGGCUGCGCUUGCGAGGACCCUGAGGUAGAUUGGGUGGUUUCAACAGGAACGCAUCCACUGUCUGAGAGUUUAAACUUGAUUUUGUGAGGGGACGAACAGCGUGACAAUUAAAAGAAGAUCUGGGAAUCGUAAGUACUGACAGAAUACCUGGAGGGAAGGUGGGACUGGAGAAUAGUUUGUGAAACAGAUCCUGCUGAGGAUGAAUCCAGAACUUCCUGAAGGGUUCCGCUUCUGCUGUGUAGGGACAAGGUUGUAAAUAGACAAGCCACAGGCACCUGCAAAUGAAAAGCUUCCUGAGGCCUUCACCAGAAGCAGAUGCUGGUGCCGUGCUUCUACAGCCUGCAGAACUGGAAUGUGUUCCAAGACCCCCAGUGGAUGCCUGAAACUGAGAAUAGUACUGGACCCUGUAUAUACUGUGUUUUUUCUUUCCUUAUUGAGAACUUUUAUGUUUUCACUUAAAGGAAGGACUUUACAGCUUCUCUUUCGCAUAUCCAAAUUGCCAGCAUCACCGCUCUUGCACUCCAAGCCAUUAUUAAGUAAAGUAAAGAACACAAACACUGUGAUACUGCUACACUUGAUCUGAUAACCAAGAAGUCUACUAAGUGACUAACAGGUGGGUAGCAUAUACAGCAUAGAUACACUGGACAAAGGGAGGACUCACAUCCUGGGCAAGAUGGAGCAGAAUGGCAGAGUUCAUCAUGCUGCUCAAAAUGAUGUGCAAUUUAAAACUAAUGAAUUAUUUCUGGAAUUUUUCAGUUAAUAUUUUUGGACAUGAGGUGACUGCAGUUAACUAAAACCAUGGAAAGCAAACCCAUAGAUAAAGGGAUACUAUGGUAUGUUUUCAUUUUCUAUAAUAAAAAGUUAAAAAGGAAAAAGACACCAUAGGAAAAUAAAAGACAAGUCACAAACUGGGAAAAGAUCUUUGCAACACAUGUGACUAUCGAAAGGAUUAGUAUUCACACUGUGUAAAGAACCACUACAAUUCAAUGAAAAUGAAGAUAAUGCUUUCCACCCCAAACAGGCAAUUCAUACAGGAGAAAACCUGAAAAGAUACCCAACCACAAGGAAAUACCAUUUCACACCCACCAGAUGAACAAAAAUGUAAAAGUCUGGCAAUAUUACAAUUCUUAUACAUUGCUGGUUGGAGUAUGAAUUGAUAUAAUCAAUUUGGGAAACAAUAUGGUAUUAUCUAGUAGCUGAAGAUGCACAUCUUCUGUGACCCAGGAAAAAUGUAUAGCAGGAGACAUGAGCAAGAAAAUUCAUAAUGGCAUUUAUAACAGUAAAACGUGGAAGAAAAUCCACUGUCCAUCAACAGUAGAGUGAUUAAAUACAUUGUAUAUGCUCAUACAGCAGAAUAUAGUGGUGGAAAAAAUAAAUUACAAGUUCAUGGACAUAGAUAAAUCUCUAACAAAAUGUUGAGCAAAUAAAAAUUCACAAAAGAAUUUUACAGUAGGAUUCCAUUUAUAUAAAGAACCAAUGAAAGUAAAUAGCCUAAGGGUACAAACAUAAGUAAAUCUAUAAAUUAAAGCAAAAGAAUGAUAAGCACAAAUUCAAGGCAGUGAUUUCCUCUAGCUACAGAGGGAAGGGAAUGAAGUAAGGAAAAGGUGAACAAGGAGCUUAAAAGUAUGAUAAUUAUAUGUGUUGGUUUGGCCAAACAGUCCUGGUUUACCUAGCACAGUUCUGGUUUGCUGAUUGCCUGGUGUAAUGAUUAAUAGCACUGUCACUCCCCAAAUUGUCAUUGUUUGGAUAAUGAAUUAUAUGCAUCCUUUUUAGAGUAAAAGUAACUUUUUUCUCCUUAAACUGGAUGGAGGGCAUGUGGGUCUUUAUCAUUCUUCCUUAUACAUGUAUUUUUAAAAUAUAAUUUAAAACUAGUCAGUAUUUUAAAAUAUAAUUUAAAACUUUAGUCAGUGUUAGUCACUGUGUUAGUGACAACACAGUAAAAAAAAAAAAUUUGUAAGAUAAAUAAAUAUAAAUAGGAUCCAAAUGAAACUCUUUUCAUCUGGGUGGAUACAGGGAUAAAUAACAUACUAUAUGCCUGGCAUUGUAUUAAGCUUGUUACUGAUAUUACUUCAUAUUCAUAGCAAGACAUUUAGGUAGGCAUUAUUAUCUCCAUUUUACACAUGAAGAAUCUAAGACACAAAGACUAUACAUAAUUUAACCAAAGUCAUAUUAUAUGUGACAGCGCAGAAUUUGAACCCAAGCAGUGUGACAUCAGACUACAUGCUCUUAACUACCAUGCCAGAGCCCAUAACAGAUUUUCUUAACCUUUUUUAUGCCACAGAUCCCUUUGACAGUCUGGUGAAGCCUAUAGAGUCCUUUUUAGAGUAAUGUCUUUUGUACAUCAAAUAUAAUGCACAGGAUUAUAAAUAAAAUCAAUUAUACUAAAAUAUGGUAAUCAAAAUAUUUAACAAAUGUAUACUAUACCUGUACUUUUUAUUAAUGCAUUAAAUAAAUAAUAAAAUCUAGCAGGUCUAAUGAAUAAUUUUGAAAUAAUAAUAAUAAUUGUAUCUUGAGAUAUCUACAAAUAUAGUAAUGUGAUAGGAAAAUGUUUGUGAUUUUGAUAAGUGAAAAAGUCACCAAAAUACUUGUAAUAACACUGUGGUUUUUUGCAUAUGUUCACAAUGGAAAGAAAUCCUAAAUCUUACUUCGAAGUUAGCAAGAAUUACAAUAUUUUUCCCACCCCAAUUCAUGGCCCUCUACUUUAUGGUCUUAUUUCAUAGGCUUUCUGACAUGUUUUGCUUCAAAGAGGUCCUAUUCCCCAUCCCAUUUCCUAUCUUCUGGUUUGGGAUUACACUCAAGAUGUGAUAUACAGAUAGAUUAGUUUAUUAGAAAGAAAAUAUUUUUCCACAUGGCGAACUUUAGUGGAGGCUAACAAAUCAGAAUGUGCUAAAAUAGCCAUGUGUACAUAUAGACAAUGGGAAGCUUGGAACUGCUUUAGCAUUUUAUACAAAAGACUUAAAAGUAAUUUCAGCUGGGCACUGUGGCUCGGGCCUGUAAUCCCAGCACUUUGGGAGGCUAAAGUGAGAGGAUUGCUUGAGGCCAGGAGUUCAAGACCAGCCUGGGCAACAUAGUGAGACCCUCCCCCCAUCUGUACAAAAAAAUUACAAAAUUAACCAGGCAUUGUGGCUCGCACCUGUGGUACCAGCUACUUGGAAGGCUGAGACAGGAGGAUGGCUUGAGCCUGGGAGGUUGAGGCUUUAAUGAGCCAUGAUCAUGCCACUGCACUCCAGCUUGGGCAACAGAGUGAGACCCUGUUUCCAAAAACAACAAAAACUGGUUUCAAAUAUAUUGCUACAUUGGAAUUCUCCAUAAAGGAAUUAAUUGUUGAUAACAAUGCCCUCAGUAUACUAUUUGUCAAUACCUAUAACA
ensembl:lncRNA TMEM161B-DT TMEM161B divergent transcript